CUUUCUCUAUUGCAAUUAGCAGAAGAAUUAUUAAAUGGAUUGCAGAGGAGUGCAGCAUGACCUUGUGUACACUGAGAGAUGAUUUCACUUACAGCUCAUUCUUCAUAACAGAUAAAGAUAGACCUGGUUUGGAAUUAUCGGUUUGCACAUGGGAGUCCUUUCUUUUAAGAAGUCAUUGCAAAACUAUCUCUUAAGAUUACAUAAUUUGAAAGACUUCACUGGCUAUCUUAUUAUAUCUGUCUUUAUAAGACUCUAAUUAUCACCUGAAUUUUAGAUAUGUUGGUGUUGAAUGCUGAUCCUUAAAAACAGUAGUGUAUCUCCAUUAAUGUUACUUACAGAAUGUAAAUGACAUAUCAAGCACAAAGCAGUUCAGAAAUAGGACAUAAAACUCUAACAUCAAACAGUUUUCUGAAGUGGAUAUACUUGGCCAUCCUCCCACUCCUUUUUUUUUUUUUUUUUUUAAAAAAAAAAAAAGGAGAAGGGGGAGAAAGAUUGAGGUUGUGAAGUCCAGAAGUCAGAAAAUGCCAAAUUUAUGGUUGCUGCUACAACCCUGAUUUUUUUUUUUACUUAUUCCUUUUUCUAACCCACACAAUGAACAAGACAUAAAUGUACUGAAAAAAUUAGGUUAUGAUCAUACACUAAUCUCAGAGGCAAGCUAUAACACAGACAAAAACUUAUGAACUGUGGAUGUUCUGGCAGAUUUGAAGUGAGCCUGCCACAAUGUAUGGUACUGGAUUUACUUUGUUUUCAUUCAGCUGGCUGUUUUCGAGAAGCAUAAGUGAGAGUAAGAAAAUAAGAUUUUUGGAACUUUUGAAUGUUAUGUGUGAAUUAAAUAGGAUGGUGUCCUUUUAGUUCUAUUCAGUUACUUGCAUCAAAAGACCAUGAAAUUAAAAUUUCUGUUUUUUUUUCUUCGUAACUUUUUAUUUAUUGAAUUACACUAGUGAAUGUUUGACUCCUUUAUAUUACUGUGGAUGGAGAGGUUAAAAGUGUUAAUGGUGAACUGUAUCAUUCUUGUGUUUGUUUUGAGUAAUUGAUAGAAAAUAUGACUCCUUAAUACUCAUCACUUCAAGGCUAAAUAGCGUAGGUAUAGCAGUGAAGCAAUAUUGCUGCUAGGGAAAGCAGCCUGUAGAAGCCUUCUUGGAACCCUGGGCUCUUAGCCCAGACCAGUUGUUUGUAUUGACACUUUCUUCCACAUCUCUACUGUUGAACUAAAUUAGCAAGAAAUACAGAGUAUGAAGUGUGUUUACUUUUGUGGUCCUAAAUUAGGCACUGAUUUUUGUCCCGUAUGUGAUAAUGAAAUUUGGAGUUUCUGCUUUCCUGUGUCUACAGUAUUGUCAAUUCCCUAACUCUCGGAAGAAAAUGAGGCAGAUGGAAAUAAAAAGCAUUUUAACAUCUUUUGUUUCAAGAGGCUUUUCUCUUCUACUUUUAUGCAAAC